rnacentral:pre_miRNA from 1 species
GAUACUGGCUCGGUUCAACCUCAUCGUAGUCUUGAUGAAUGAUUCAAAUCUAUGGUUGGAUUGAGCCGCGCCAAUAUC